CGUAUUUGAAAUCUUUUUUUUACUGAGAAUGUCGUUGUCCAUGUAGGGAGAUGGAGCGCAGUGGAUCGUAUCGUCUCUGCUAUGUUUCGGAAUCCGUGUGACCACCCAGUCACAUCGCCUAACUCCAGUCACAGCGCCUUACACAAACUACAUCUCCCCAACAAGGCAGCCUUCCCGCUGCUGUGUAUUGUGUUUAUGGGAUAACAGAGGUGUCUAUUAUCCCAUACACCUUGACAAAAACGACUGAUUGCCCGCUUAACACCCUAAUCCGUAAACCACUAAUGGUGACAGUGUUGUUUGAGAUCAGCUAUUAAAGUCGCUGCGGCAAAUGAGGUGGUGGCUGGCCGAACCGUGCCUCGCUGUUUGUCUCCGGAGUGAUGACGGAUACAAACCAGACCAAGCGGAGGCCAUGUACCAGAUCGGGUUUUGGUUACUGAUGUUAGAGUGAUUGUGUUGCAAGUGUGGUCACUACGCGUCUGAACAUGCUCAAGCCCCGAAGCUCGGCGGUUGUGGGCAACGCCACGGGACUGCAUUCACUUUAAUUCGAGGACAAUGGAGGGCAUGGGGAACGUGUUUUUACAGCGCUAAUCCAAAAUAAGCGCGCAUUUACACAUUGAGAUGCACUUACAUAUUCAUGCAUGAAACACAAUGGGCACAUUACCAUUCGGUAUGUUAAUAGACAUACGGAUUGUACCUUCCAAAAUUAACAAUCGAAUGCAAAAAUCCUGAAAGACAAAGGAUUGGAUCCUAGGAGGGGAGUUAUAAGGCGGCUCAGAACAGAGCUCAAGGCCAUUUCGAGAGGGAACUUGAUGAGGCUGGACGCUCGACUCGUCGCUCUGCUGAUCGCCCUUCUACCGCGAGACAACGCAGCCUGGUGAACACAAUUGCUGUGUCGGCAGUUAGGCGACUUUGCUUCGUAUGGUGAGUGAAUAUGCGAGUUCGUGGGGACAUCUUCAGACGGGUUACAGACAUCGAUUCACCGUGAAUCUCCAAGCAUCAGAAGGUUCACGACGAUUGGAAACUGAAAUCAAAAGGUGAAAUUCAAGGUGCUGCAAUGAGUCCUGAAGGAGAUUCCACCUUCGAUCCCAUGCAGUUGGAUCCCGAGAGAUGGCUGGAUGUAAUGGAGUGGCUCGAGAGUCAAAACGAGAGCUA